AGUAACCAGCCUAAAAUAAUCCUCAUCAAUACCAGCAUCUUCCUCCACCCCUCCUCCCCAGAUCUUCCAGGAAAAAGAGAGGAAACUUUCUAGUAGGGACAUGCCUUUAGCCCCACUCAUGUUGAGUGUGAGCAGACACCUGUGAAGGUGUGUAAGCCAGCCUUUUGUGCCUCUGUAUCCCCCACCACCCCAUUUUAGACAACCAAUAUUCCAAUUGUGCAUUCAAAUUUCUCUAUCACACUAUUCCUCUGAGGAGGAUGUCUCUCUGCCCAUUGUUGGACUUUAUGGGCUGUAAAGUGUGUUCUUUGGCCUGAAGAAAUGUGACCCAGCAGUGCAAAUUGGUGUACUGUCUUCUGUUCUGGUUCUUUUAUAGCACUCUGAGCAUUUAUAUCUCCCACUGGAUAAGCAAAGCCCAAUCCAGGGUCAAUAUCUACUCCGGUCAAGACCCAUUUGUAGCCCCCUGGGCCACCAGCAUCAGUCUGAUUUGCCAGCUAUGUUCAAGACAUUCCCACCAGGCAAUCUGCCACAUAGCCAUCUAUUUUCUCUGGUUGGCAGACAGAACAGUUCUUUUUGGUAUUUUUCUUCAGAGGAUGCAAGUGGAAUAUGUCUAGACUCAGCCCAUCUCUGCUUCGCUGCAGCCCCUCAAUGUCUACUUAUGUCAUGGAUCCAGGUAGCCACAUCAAGGGGAAUAAUGUGUUAUUUGCUCAUUGAUUCCAGACUCUUCCCAACCCAGGAGGGCCUUCUUGUGAUGGGCAUCAACAUGUCGUACUUUACACACCCCUGAAAUUCCCAUAGUGAUUUCCAUAGGACUGUGCUCCGUAUGGCGUUCCUUUAAUAGACCAGGUUUCCCUUGCCCUUUGCCUAACCAUAUGGCCUGGCUGUUGACUACCGUCUAUGAGUUUGUAAAAAUCAAACAUUAAGGGCUUUUAUCAUUGUUCAAUUCUUCCAUCACUGCUAGGAAAACUGCAUGCAAUUCAGCUCAUUGAGCUGAUCUGUUUUUACUUGAUCAGAAAGAUGAUGUUCCAAACUGGGUUUUGUCUGCUCACCUUGGAACUGCCAUCCAUAAACCAGGCAGCUUCUCUUAGGUCAGUUGAGAACUGUUUUUAGGAUAUUGUCCAAGUGAUGAAACAAUCCAGCAGCUCCUCAUGCAUUCCAAAGUUAGUCCGAGGGGAAGACAGGCUCCCUGCUCAUGCGUGCAUCCUUCCUGUAUUUCCCUGGGAGCACGAUCCUGUAUAACCUGUCUCCAUUUUUAGUGGAACUCUGUUGAGCAGUGUCCCCUUCAUCAGUGUGUUCCUCUGAUUUUGUCGAACACAACAUGGGUAUUUCAGUUUUAAGAUUAUUUUACAUCUUUUAGUCAUAAGGGUAGUUUCAAUUAAUGUCCAAUAGCAAGCUAGUAACUGCCCCUCAAAUGGAAACUCUCUACUUCCAAGUCCCAUUAGUCAUCACUGGGAGAUGCUCAGGGGCUUUUGCCAGAAGCUCCAGUGCCCGCUCCACCCAGGGCUCUUGUGCGGAGAGUGUGUCUGCACUGCACUCCAGCUUCUGUUCUACACUGUUGGGUUUCCACAGAGCAUGUCCAGUUAAUAUGGCUUGAAGGGUGGGUUUACAUGUCUUCUGUGUUACAAUACUAAGUGGGGAAAGUGUUCCGCAGUCAGACAGAUUUUCCAUUCCCAUAAAACAGUCAGGUAAGGGAGACACAACUUGUUCACUUAAAGCCUGUUUAAACAUUCCAAUUUCAUCCAAAUUUUCACCUUCAUCUUAUCAACUCUUACAUUUGUGUAUUCUCUCAAUCUCACUGUAGCCCACUUUAGGGCUUCACCAAUGGGUUUUGGUGCCACAGUGCAUGGGGCUCCUGUGUAAAGGAGUCCUGGAAACUUCUCUCUCCACCCCUGACCCUUUGACCCACUCUUGUGUAGAAGGCUCUGGAUCCCAGCGAGGCAUCAAGCCAGAUAGCCUUGGCUCUUUUGUCAUCUUUUCCUUGAUUAAUCUGCCUGACUACUGCAGGUCAGGGUUCUCAUUGUGAUCUUUGCCUUCCUGCUUUUAAAAGUUCUCUAAACUGGGACAAAUGGAGCCAUCUUAUUUGGGGUCCUUUUGAUGUUGGGGAACCAGCAAGAGUCCCCUUGGUUCAACCAACCUUCAGUUGUGCUAUAAUAGACCUUUGUUUUAACCUCAUCAAUGUUUGUUUUCUUCAUUCCAUUGUUUAAGUAUCAUAUGUAUUAGUGUUCUCCAGAGAAACAUAACCAAUAGGAUAUAUAUAAUAUGAUAUAAAGACUUGGCUCAUGGAAUUACGGAGAAUGAGAAGCCCCAUGAUCUACCAUCUGUAAGCUGAAGACCAAAGAAAGCCAGUGCUGUAAUUCAGUUUGAGUCAGUAGUCCUGAGAACAGGGGAGCUAGGGGUCUAAAUCCCAUUCUGAUCGCAGAAGACUGAUGCCCCAUCUCCUGCAAUGAGGCAGAAAAAGGGGUGAAUUCUCCCUCCCUCCACUUUUUGUUCCAUUCAGGUCCUCAAUGGAUUGGAUGAUGCCUACCCCCAUUGGGCAGGGCAAUCUCCUUUGCUGAGCCCACCAAUUCAAAUACUAAUGUCAUCUAGAAACUCCCUCCUAGACACAUGCAGAAAUAAUGUUUAGCCAAACAUCUGGGCACGCUGUGACCCCAUCAAGCUGACAUAUAAAAUUACCCACCCCCUGUCAAUCUGGUACUGAUAUGCAUCUCCUUAAUCUGCACUUAAUCUCCAAAUAAUGAUAAUGACAAGGUUAUCAUUUCACUUACCAUGAUUCAGCUAUGCUGCAUACAACUGAAAAUGCAUUAACUUCUUCCCCAGAAGAGAAGGUAAAGUGCUUGAGUGAUGUUUAUUCUUCUCUUUGUAAAUACCGUGAUGUAAAAUUAACAGUACUUAAAUACUAUGAUAUAAAGUCAAUGCAUCUUAUGCUACAUGAUAAGGGAAGGAGAGGAAAGAAAACAAAGAUAUUAUACACACACACACAUAACCUUUUCAUUAUUCGUAACAAAUGAACAGGAAAUACUAGUCCUUGUUUCUUUAACUGAUCACUUGGUUAUAGUUACUAAUUGUAACUACCUUUUUCACCAUCCACUCUGUGUUUCCUUUGCCUUCAGCGAGCAUCUCAGCUGGUCACUGUCUUUUGCCUGGUAGGGUGACCCAAACCUUCAUUCCUGUAGAGUCUGGGUCAUUAGUAGUCCUGCUUGCACUGGGUUGUUGUAAUUUUCCAUUGACCUUAAUCACAGGGCAUGAUAAUACUAAAAGAUGCCCUAAGUGUUCUCCUGUGUUCCAGACAUACCCUUUCUGACCUCCGUUGUGGAACAGUAGUCCAAUUUCCCCUUGUCGUGAGGAUCAAUCACCUCACCCAGCACGGUAACUCCCUUCUUUGCCUGUUGAUUCAGAGGCACAAGGAGCCCAAAGUGGCCAGAUGCAAGUCUCAGCUUCCAGUUCAAUGGUAUCCUUGUUGUGUCUCCUGGUGGAAGCAUUCCCCGUUCUGGAGCUAAGACCUCUAGGCCAGUAGAGCACAAAGUUGUAGGAACAGGAAGCAAAAAGUUUGCUAGUGGCUCACUAGGGGUCGUAGUGUUGCCAUUCCCAUUUCCAAUGCUCAAUUCCUGGACCCAGGAAUCCUAGCUAUGGGAGAAACAGCAGCAGAUAUUGGAUCCUGAUUCAGAGCAUAUAAGCCAUCUGGAGAACUUUGCCCCAGCCCUGCAAGGUAUUGCGACCCAGCUGGUGGUAUAACUGAGUCUUCAAAAUGCCAUUCCACCAUUCUUUGUAGCCAGUUACUUCUGGACGGAGGAAAAUGUAAUAAGCCCCUUGAAUUCCAUGAGCAUUGACCCAUUACCACACUUCUUUUGCUGUGAAAUUAGUUCCUUGAUCAGAAGCAAUGCUGUGUGGAAUGCCAUGAUGGUGAAUAAGGCAUUCUGUAAGUGCACACAUAGUAGUUUUGUCAGACGCAUUGCCUGCUGGGAAAGCAUAUCUGUAUGAAGAGUAAUUGUCUAUUCUAGUAAGGAAAAUGCUUCCCAUUCAAUGAUGAAAGCAGUUCAAUGGAAUUAACCUGCCACCGGGAAGCUUGGUGACACCCCAGGGAAUUGUGCCAUAUCAGGGACUCAGUCUUGGUCUCUGCUGCUGGCAGAUUGGGUACUCAGAAUUGGUACUAGCCACCUCAACCUUGGUGAGUGGAAGUCCAUGAUGCUGACCCCACUCAUAACCUCUGCCCCUACCACCAUGGCCACUUUGUUCACGAGUCCAUUUUACGGUUAUGGGAGUGACUAGGGAAAGAGGUUGACAGGUUUCCUCACCUGAUUAUUAAAAUUCUCCUCUGCUGACGUGACCCUUUGGUAAGCAUUCACAUGGCACACAAAUAUCUUCACAUUAUUUACCCAUUCGGAGAGGUAUAUCUUCAUACCUCUUCCUCAAUUUUCCUUGUUACCAGUUUCCCAAUCAUGUUCCUUCCACAUCCCACCCAGGCAAACCACUGACUGCAGUCGGUGAAUCUGUAUACAGUUGUGUAUGUGACCAUUUCUACUUCAAAGCAAAGCGAAUGACCAGGUGACUUUUGUCAGUCCUGCUCACUGGGAAGAUUUUCCUUCACUGCUGUUAUUCAAGGUUACACACAUGUGUGCUUUCUUGGAUAUUGUCCACAAGGCUCUGAGAAUCUGUCACAGGCAAGCUUCAGAAGAACUCAGCAAAAUAGCUUUUCCCUUCUCUAAGGGCACUAAGGCACAUCAGGGUUUGGUGACCUGUCCAAGUUACACAAGCAACUGAGUGACAGAAUCAAGGAUUAAAAACCAAUCCUUCCAUCAUAACCCAGUGACUUAAAAUAGAAUCCAGUAAUCCAUCCUGAUAUUAAAUGGAUAUGUAAAUAAAUAUUUGGGGACAGGCGGAGUGAAAACUCUACUCUCUACUGUGGAAUGCUAAUUAGUAAAUAUAAGAGAAAGAAUCGAGUUUGAAAAACCAUUGUUUGCAACCAUAGUAGUAAUAAUGGAUACAGACAGGAGUCAUCAAGGAAGGCUAAACUAAUGAGUGAAUGUUGUUGAAGAACAGGAUAGUUACAUAUUUUCAAAGUAUCUCCCCUCAAGUUCCUUCUCAAUUAUAAUGGAAAACAGUAACUUUAUCCUGGAAAUACUUGGGAGGCACUGCCUUAACCCAGUGAUCAAGUUGACGUCACCCACAGUGGGCUUCCUGAUGUGAGGCUCUGAGAAGGAUGCAACAUCCCUUUUGCAAUAUUCCUACCAGAACUGCAUAACUAGAAUCUAAUCAUGAUGAGACAUUGGAUAAACUCAAGUUGAAGAACUUUCCAUGAUAUAAAGGGCCUGUCCUCUACGAAAAUACCAACAUCGUUAAAAAUAAAUAAAAUCUGAGGAACUGUUCCAGAUUAAAGGACACUAAAGAUACGUGACAACUGAAUGCAGUGCGUGUUCCUGGAUUAGAUCCUGGACUGGAAAACAAGUGCCUGUAAAUAUUAUUGUGACAAUUUGGGACAUUUGAAUAGGGACAGUAGUAUUGAGUCCACGUUAACAUUCCUGAUUUUGAUUAUUGUGCUCUGGGUGUGAAAGAAAAUGUUCUUGUUAGAAAUAUAUGCUAAAACUUUUGUGAGUAACAACGCAGAGAUAUCUACAAUUUAUUUUCAUAUCAUUAUAUAUGCAGCAAAUGUGGCAAAAUGUUAGCAGUUGGUGAAUCUGGGAAAAGGUAUAUAGGAUUUUCUUGUGCUAUACCUGCAUGCUUUCUCUAAGUUUGAAAUUAUUUCAAAAUAAAAAUUAAAAGAAAUCAAGUUAUUCUGAGUUCAACACAACAUAUCACACUUUAUUUAGUAUAGUCUUUACUAGUCAAACAUGGAUGGUUAUUUCUCUAAUAUUUUGACCUUUUCUUGAAAUCACUUGUUUCAAUCUCCCAGCAUUAGGAUAUCCUUAAUACUGUUCCCUCCUGUUUGAAGACUUCUGUUUGAAGACUUCCUAAAUGACAUCUUUCAAAUACAGAAAACUCUCUAAAUCUAGGGAUUGUGGGAUUUGGUGAAAAGUAUCUCAGUUUAACUUCUACCACGAACUUUGGCCAUCAAGGUAAGAGGAAUGAGAGGGAGGGAGGAACGCCUUUAUUUUCUUUCACUUGGAAGAGCUCCCCACUCUUGCUGUUCUUUGCAUGUCCCUGGCCUGAGGGAAGGAUGGCUCCCUUAGGCCAUGAGAGAAAAAUGAUAAUGUGGAAACAUCUUCCUCCAUCUCCUCCUCAAUCCUUUGGCUUUGAGUGUUGAGCUCUGGAGUCUGAACAGGAACAGAUACCUGUGAUCUGCUCACACUGAGCCCUGUCCGGUGCCUGGUGGUGGGAUGACCUUAUCUCCUGGAUGCUCUUCUUUUUGGUCCUUGGGAAAAGUCCCUGGCCAACCUCCCUAUUGACACCUGGGAGACUCAGCCAUCCUGGAAUGAUCACUAUCUUUGAAUCAAGCACUGACUUCUCAGCAUUUACACCUUGUCAACCACCUGUUAAAUGCUCUUUCAAUGAUUUUCUCAGGAUUUGUUUAAAAAGGGUGUGGUUAUAACCCCAAGCACGUGGAUUUUGAGAACCCUAAAAAGAAGAACCCCUCAGGGAAAGAGCCCUCUCUGAUUUCUCCCAGAACACCUCAUUUCAUCUUCUCAUCCAUUCACUUGGUUGCAAAGUGGCUUCCAUUUCGCCUGACUUUAUUGCAAAAAGUGGAAAUAAAAUCCAGGAUCUCAAACACUGCCCCUCAGGAAACAGGCACAUCAGAAAGACCCUGGUCUCUACUUCUCCAGUCCCGGAGAUUCUGUGUUUUGAUUCCUGUGUGUCCAUUACAAACACUGGAAUACCUGACUUUUCAUUCCCUUUCAGUAUCGGAAAAUGAGCUGAGUUUUCAGCGUAUUCCCUUCCAGAGAGUUUAGUGCAGAGAUAAUCUGCCCAAAUCCAGUGUCAUGGUUUCCUGAGUCAAUAAAGAAGCCAACACGUGAGUUCCUUCAAGAAAAAUAAAGAGAAUUCCCAGACUCCAAAUUUCAUGUGGCAGCUGUGAGAUGGGGCUGGUAGGAUCCAUCCUCACCUCAGGUCACACAGGAGAAUAUACAACUUUUAGGUCCCCAUGGGAGGCAGUCAGUCACGCCGUCUGGGGGACAUGCAGGAAAAUCCUCAGGGAGGAUUCUGUCUACUCAGCUGCCUCCUUCAGCAGCUUCCCCUGAAGAAACCCCGAAGUCUUAGGAAUCAGUUAAGAGCAAAGGUAUUAAUUGUCGCUGAUAAAGUGAAAAACCAGCCAUCUGCCACCCAGUAGGGAAGCCACUUAAGACAACUUUAGGACAAUUUCCUACUUCUACCCUGGACAUGUCUUCACAUGCAGAAGCUGUGGCAGUCGCCCCUGAAACAUUGUUCCAAGUUGUGCUUCUAGGAAUCUGGUCGUAGGGUGCCUCGCUCCCAAAUUCUGCCCAGACUGACUUUUGUUUUUUUCAGCCAAUUUCGUAGAUGAAAAAUAAUGUCUUGUUUCACUUUUCAAUCCUUUGUUGCUACCCAGCCGAAACAUUUUUCCACGGGUACUGGCCAUUUAGAUCUCCCUUCCUGUGAAAUGCUUUUUCAUAGCGUUGAUGCUGUGUCUUAAUUAAGUGUAGGAUGCAGAGGAAAGAAUGGAAAAAAUUAACAAUUAUUGAUUGCUUGUUACUUGCCAGACAGUGUAGACUAUUGAAUUCCCAGGGACUCACUUAUCCUUACAACAGGUCUGUUGUUUCCCCAUUUUAUGGGUGAUGAUGCUACAGCUUCUGCAUGUGAAGAAAAGCCUAGUGUAGAAGUGGGAAACUGUCUUACAAAAGGUUAGUGUAAAACGGAGAGUAUAUGGUCAUCAAUGCCACAACCCAUGGCUUUCUGAGUGACCUCUCCACUGUUUGAAGUAAUCCUCCAGUGAAUAAAAACACUUUCUCUAUGAUAAUAAAACACUGCUUCUUUGUGAUAAUGUCUCUUAUAGGCAAUCAUCUCCUCUUGCUAAUUUUUCAUUCAAGGUGGAAUAAUUGGGGUAAUUGGUGCUGAUAGGCCACUCUCUGAGGAAUUUCUCAGAAAACCUCAUGAGAUGUUCUCCAGGAGGCUGCACCAGAGGGAAUGAGGCCUCGUAUUUCUGCCAUCCUGCUGUAUCCACUGUGAUGGAGUUUAGUCCAGGUACGAUGACAAACCGGAAAUGUAGAAAUGCAAGCGCAGGACCAAACCUCUCCCCUUGUCCUGAUCCCAUGUGCUUUUCAAUCGCUCUUGCUCUGUGUGCUUUAGGGGUAUUUUCUUGAGAGAAACAGAGCACAGGAAACACUGUUCUUGGCUCUGAAUCUUUUGUCUGCAAUUCCUGUUAUACAUGGAUCUAACCAGCGGAUGGCGGACUAGCCAUUAGGUUUCCUAGCCCUGCUUUUCCUUGAUCACACCCACUUGUGGAGUGUGCGGGCUUCACAGGUACAAAUUAACAAAGAGGAACAUUUUGUUUUUAUCUGAGCUGGGAUUCCCUUUGUGAGGUUGGGAAUGGGAAUGUCCAGUUAUAAUUCAGAGAUGACAAAUACUACUCCGAAAAACGAGAAAAGAGAUUAAAUAAUGUGUGUCUUUGGCGCCUCAGCUCUGAGCUGCUGAUUUCUUGUGUUGAGUGUCUGAGAGAUGCUGAACAUUCAGUAUAAAGCAGGACACUUCGAGUUCUCAGAGGAUCCUCGUUCGUAAUUGUAUUGGAAAAUAGUUUGUCAGUUUCAUCACUCUCCCCCAGCCCCGACCCCGU